CCGACGCGGAUUACGGUG
rnacentral:snRNA from 1 species